AGACAUGCGCUGACUGUCCCUGUCAACAAAGUGGACAUCAGCGACUGGGUGUUUCAAAAUGCCUGGGCAGGAGUCAAGAACGCAAAGUUCCAAGAAGCUGUCCAAGAAGAUCUUCAGAGACCUGUGUGGGAUAUAGAGUGGUGCACACCACUUGAGGACCAAACAGAUCUACCAGGAUUUAAGUUCAGAGCUGAUUUGUCGUUAGGAGGCAGAGUCCAUGAAGCAAUGGAGCACCAGAAGGCCUAUCAUCCCUGGAGGGCAUCAUUUAGAUCAUCUGACCUCUGGCCUAAAGCACUGAGGCCACAGCCCAGGAAGGAUGAUGCUAGGACAACAUUAAGUGCUACAAAUCAUCUCAAAUCAGUCAUUCUGACCUGUUCUGAUGACCGAAAAGUGCUACUGUUUGUUCCGCACAUGGGCAGUACCUCAUCACUUUCAUGACCAUGUUUGCUCCAUGCAUUCCAAAUUGUUUAUUACACAUAAAGUAUGUGUAAGCGUAUGCUGUGUCGCUGGGACCAUGAUUUGAUCGGGGUACCAUUGAACUAUCAAAUAUGCUCCCUUAAACUGCU
rnacentral:lncRNA from 1 species